rnacentral:rRNA from 1 species
CGAAUGCUGACAUAAGUAACGAUAAAGCGGGUGAAAAGCCCGCUCGCCGGAAGACCAAGGGUUCCUGUCCAACGUUAAUCGGGGCAGGGUGAGUCGACCCCUAAGGCGAGGCCGAAAGGCGUAGUCGAUGGGAAACAGGUUAAUAUUCCUGUACUUGGUGUUACUGCGAAGGGGGGACGGAGAAGGCUAUGUUGGCCGGGCGACGGUUGUCCCGGUUUAAGCGUGUAGGCUGGUUUUCCAGGCAAAUCCGGAAAAUCAAGGCUGAGGCGUGAUGACGAGGCACUACGGUGCUGAAGCAACAAAUGCCCUGCUUCCAGGAAAAGCCUCUAAGCAUCAGGUAACAUCAAAUCGUACCCCAAACCGACACAGGUGGUCAGGUAGAGAAUACCAAGGCGCUUGAGAGAACUCGGGUGAAGGAACUAGGCAAAAUGGUGCCGUAACUUCGGGAGAAGGCACGCUGAUAUGUAGGUGAAGCGACUUGCUCGUGGAGCUGAAAUCAGUCGAAGAUACCAGCUGGCUGCAACUGUUUAUUAAAAACACAGCACUGUGCAAACACGAAAGUGGACGUAUACGGUGUGACGCCUGCCCGGUGCCGGAAGGUUAAUUGAUGGGGUUAGCGGUAACGCGAAGCUCUUGAUCGAAGCCCCGGUAAACGGCGGCCGUAACUAUAACGGUCCUAAGGUAGCGAAAUUCCUUGUCGGGUAAGUUCCGACCUGCACGAAUGGCGUAAUGAUGGCCAGGCUGUCUCCACCCGAGACUCAGUGAAAUUGAACUCGCUGUGAAGAUGCAGUGUACCCGCGGCAAGACGGAAAGACCCCGUGAACCUUUACUAUAGCUUGACACUGAACAUUGAGCCUUGAUGUGUAGGAUAGGUGGGAGGCUUUGAAGUGUGGACGCCAGUCUGCAUGGAGCCGGCCUUGAAAUACCACCCUUUAAUGUUUGAUGUUCUAACGUUGGCCCCUGAUCGGGGUUGCGGACAGUGUCUGGUGGGUAGUUUGACUGGGGCGGUCUCCUCCUAAAGAGUAACGGAGGAGCACGAAGGUUGGCUAAUCCUGGUCGGACAUCAGGAGGUUAGUGCAAUGGCAUAAGCCAGCUUGACUGCGAGCGUGACGGCGCGAGCAGGUGCGAAAGCAGGUCAUAGUGAUCCGGUGGUUCUGAAUGGAAGGGCCAUCGCUCAACGGAUAAAAGGUACUCCGGGGAUAACAGGCUGAUACCGCCCAAGAGUUCAUAUCGACGGCGGUGUUUGGCACCUCGAUGUCGGCUCAUCACAUCCUGGGGCUGAAGUAGGUCCCAAGGGUAUGGCUGUUCGCCAUUUAAAGUGGUACGCGAGCUGGGUUUAGAACGUCGUGAGACAGUUCGGUCCCUAUCUGCCGUGGGCGCUGGAGAACUGAGGGGGGCUGCUCCUAGUACGAGAGGACCGGAGUGGACGCAUCACUGGUGUUCGGGUUGUCAUGCCAAUGGCACUGCCCGGUAGCUAAAUGCGGAAGAGAUAAGUGCUGAAAGCAUCUAAGCACGAAACUUGCCCCGA